UACAGAGGGUGCAAGCGUUAAUCGGAAUUACUGGGCGUAAAGCGUGCGUAGGUGGUUUACUAAGUCAGGUGUGAAAUCCCCGGGCUCAACCUGGGAACGGCAUCCGGAACUGUCAAGCUAGAGUGCAGGAGAGGAAGGUAGAAUUCCCGGUGUAGCGGUGAAAUGCGUAGAGAUCGGGAGGAAUACCAGUGGCGAAGGCGGCCUUCUGGACUGACACUGACACUGAGGUGCGAAAGCGUGGGUAGCAAACAGG
rnacentral:rRNA from 1 species